rnacentral:lncRNA from 1 species
AAAAGAAUUGAUGAGAAACGUGAAGAUCAAAUGUCCAUCUCAAAACACUGCUUUUACAAAAGCAGAAUAAAAUGGACAGAAAUGAAAAUGA